CUCCUAUGUUUGUGACAUAGCAGCAGGUUGCCAUGGAGAUGACGGCUUUAUCAGCAACCGUGUCUUGCCAUGACCUCACAACAAGUUUCUGCUCCACUUCAUUCAGAGAUUUUCCCAUCUGCUGAUGCCAAACCCAGACACUAUUGUUGAUGCUUAGAAGUGCUUACUGACAGGAGCCCAGUAUAGCUGUCCCCUGAGAGGCUCUACCAGAACUGGACCAAUACAGAUGCGGAUGUACACAGCCAAACAUUGGACUGACUGCAUGGUCCCCAAUGGAGACCAAAAAGAGCCAUUGCAAGAUUUGACCUGAGGAAAGUGACUCUUUAUUUAAAGUCAUCUAGAGAUAACCAUGGUUAGAACCUUUGUUUCUGAUUGGAAAUAAAACUCUAUGCUCUGCAGGAAUGUUGGAAAAUUGAAAGUAAGUGACCCUCAUCGCCACUGGAGCAGGGACCAGUCCACUGGAGCUUUUGAUCGCUCCUCAUACCAGGGCUUACAUGUGAAUUGUGAGCACCACCACAGUGGGCAACUGCAUGACAGAGGGAGGCAGUAAAUGCUCUGUGUUCGGCUCCUGUGGCUUUUGUUUCAUACAGGCCUUUUCUCUGUGAGCAUCAAUUCUGCAGUGCAGAAGGUAGAGAUGUGACAUUCAAAGAGUAAUUCAGUUAGAGUCACAGAAAUUUCUGGUCACAUUUAGGUCACCAUUGAAAUUGAGUUUUAAUGUGAGAUUCGCCUCAGGCUCAGUGGUUGCUUCCUUUACAUCACGAGGAGUCAUUUGCUUUGCAGACACUCGUGUAGCUGGUCAUAAUUAACUCUAGAGUUUCAAGGGACUUGCCUCACGCCCACACCUGCUUUUUCCUCUUCUGUUUUGAUUUUCCCACAUACAUAUUUUCGUUAUCACCACACAUGGCUUCGCUACAUUCAUGCACUCUUCUGGUAAGAGGUGAGCAGAGAUUAUAAGAGGAAAAGAACUAUGCCAGAUAGAAAGGGUUAAAAACCACGCAUUGAUUGUUGUUUAUGUUAUUAAAAAGAAAAACCUCCUCGGCUGGGCAAUAGUGGCACAUGACUUAAUCCCAGUACUUGGGAGGCAAAGACAGGUGCGUUUCAGACCAGCAAGUUCCAGGAGACCCAACAGUAAACAGAGAGAUUCUAUGGGGAAAAACCAACAAACAUACAAAUUCCUGCAAACUUUGGGGUAAAAAUUAAAUGAAAAGUACAUCAGAUGUAUUUCCUCAGAUGCUGUGUCUACUAGCCCCCACCUUUGAUUCAUCCUGUACCUGUACCUGAACCCCUAACCAUUCUGGACAUCAAUAUUAAUGUUGGCAGCUUUGGGCUGUGGCUAGUAGAGGUGUCAUUUCACAAUUCACAUGCAAAACAUUAAAAGCCAUAUAGUACAGAGAUUACAAAGUAAAAGGCUCUAUUGUCCAUCAACUGUUCAUUGAAAACCCAUCAAAAACCUAGGCUUUAGCAGGCCUCCCUUAGCAGGGAAUUCAACAUUAACAAGUAAACAAUAGUGGUCUAGAAGUUUACUCUUCUAAUUUUCCCUGAUCAUAAAAGAUCUAGGAAGGGCAAAGGGCAGGUCCUGAAAUAGUUCACUUCAACAUUGCCUGGAAAGCUUCUGACUCCAGGAUUCUUCUGAUUGCCAAUUUAUAUCCAGGGAACAAAACCUCCAGAGAACUGACAGGUGAGAGAGAUGAGUGCAUGCUCUAGCCAGCCAGGAGUCCAUGUCCAGAGAUCUGCCUCUCUUCCCUGUUGCCAGGGAACUCUGGGAUCCUGCUCACUCAUCAUAUACACGAAAUUUUAUUUCUAUUUUUCUAAAAACUAUUUUCUUUAAUAUUAACAUUUUAGGGAACCUAGAUCUCCAACAGUCUUCAGAGGAAAA